UACGUAGGAUGCGAGCGUUGUCCGGAUUUAUUGGGCGUAAAGAGUUCGUAGGCGGUUCGUUAAGUCUGAUGUUAAAGACUGGGGCUCAACCCUGGGAGUGCAUUGGAUACUGGCGGACUCGAGUGCAGUAGAGGCAAGCGGAAUUCCCAGUGUAGCGGUGAAAUGCGUAGAUAUUGGGAAGAACACCGGUGGCGCAAGCGGCUUGCUGGGCUGUAACUGACGCUGAGGAACGAAAGCGUGGGGAGCGAACAGG
rnacentral:rRNA from 1 species